UAUUAUAUUAAUUUCGUACAUUUAUUCAUCAUAGCUAUCGCUUGGAUCUAUAAUAAAAUUUAAGUUUAUUACGAUACUCUAAACGUUGUUCUAUGGAGUAUUUCUAAUUAUCAAUAUUAUAAUUGUCACGUCGUAAUUUUAUAGGUUAAUGGUAAAAACUUAUGUACAUAUAUCGUAUAAACGUCAUACAUUUUACAUACAUCGGUUUAUCGCGAAAUAUUUCAUGCUUCGUUACAAAAUAGGCGUUAUUCGCACGGAACAAUAAUUAUUACGUUUCAUAGCAGUGCGAUUUACGUUUCGUGCACGUUUCAAUAUAAUCUAGUAUAAGUUUUAUACAAACGAGGAUAAAUUAUUGUUUAUACGUGUAUAGAAUUACUAAUGAAGGGAAACUAUAUCUCACUAGGUAUGAUCUGAAUGAACCUACGAAUAUUAUAACUACGUGCUCUGGCCUGAUUAAACUUACCAGUUCGUAUCAAGCGGAACUUACCUGUUAUUACGUGAAAGAAUAUUACAUUACAUUGGGCGAAGAAGACUCCACUGUUAAAGUUCGCCGUCGAUAAAUUCGAGGAAAUACGGAAGUCAAAUACGUAAGUAUAGUUAGCACAGUAGUGGCUUAUGGUUCAAUGAAAAUCGAUUUCAUCAACCUCUCAACUUCCGUUUCGAUAAUAAACAGGAUCUUGGGUGAUAAGCUAUGUUUCUAGUAGAAACGGGAUAAAUAAGGAUUCUCGUCUACUGCAACCUGCGGCUUUUCUUCGUCAUCAAGUGCACAAUUUCUUCGACGAGAAGAGAAACGUCCUACAUCGAGCGACUUUUCGUCCGUAUAAAUUUUACGUUGAUUUGUCAUCAUUGGCGUGUGUCACAGCGUUGCAUAUGCAGCAAUAAAAAUAUCCUUUUGAAAAAAGUAACGUCACCAGCUUAAAAACUGACGCAACUCGAUCAGCGCUACUUUCAUAAAUCAAGUUGUUGAUUCAAUUGUAAACACGUGUAAUUCUAUUUAUUCAAGAUCUAUUUAUUCAAGAGUGUUUUGUAAGCUUUCCUUUAAUUUAGUUUUAAAAUGUACAAACUGGUCGUAUCCUCGGUCGUAGAAAAGUAUCUCGUAUGAAGAAUCGCUUCGUGUUGUUUCAUUCAGCUACAGUAAAUGUUUCGUAUAACGAACGUGGCGUUUCUUUUCGUCGACACGCCACUUUAAUUAGAAAGAUAUUGCGCACGCAUAACUUGUAUAUAUGUGUAUUGUCUUUCGUGCAAGGUUUCAUGCGAAAAAAGAGAAUAAAUUCUCGACAAAGCAAAAUGCGACAUAACAGCGCAAAUAAAAAAUUCGAAACUAUGCUAUGAAAGAAUUCAUGAAACCACGAGCAUUGGUCACAAGGGUGUAUUUUUCUUCUUAGACGAUGGUAACGGCGCGCGACCGUGCGCCAUCGUGCUAGAUCGACCGUGUAACUAAUACCAGUUUCUUUUCUUAUAAACUGCCGUACUAGCAAACGUUUUCAAGCAACUCCGUUAAACUACUAGAAUUUUUACAAUUUUUUUAUCUUCGUUUUUUAAUCGAUUUUUUUCCAAAGAUACGCGAGAAACGUUAGUAAAAUGAAUUACAUACGCGCAUUUUCAUCUUUAUCAUUUUCUUGUAGUUCACAGAUGGAAAUCAACUCAUCGUGGAUAGUAAUAGUAGCGUUACGUAUUAUCUUUCCAUACAAUCAAUAUGCAAAACUAUCUGGAUUUCUAUUUUACGCUCAAUAAAUCCAAUUUCGAAAAAAGGCCAAACACGAAUUAAAAAUACGAUCAGUCGAAUAUAUAUAUGUAAUAAUAUACAUAUAUAUAUAUAUAUAUACAAUGUGAUAAUACAAUGUAAAUUUUCGUUUUGAUUUAUAGGCAAAUUAUUAGUUGGAAAUAGGGUAGAUAAGAGCAAUUGAUUAAAACUGUUUCAAACGUUUAAAGAGUAUUAAUGCGAUAUCUCUGUUCUGUGAUUUGAUCGACAACAAAAGCAUCUGCUUGGACGCUUUUGCCUAUCUAUCUGCGAAACGAACAUAUUGUUCGUUUCACUUGAAAACAUUAUCUUUUCUCGAUAACAUAGAUUUUGAAAUAUAUUUUCUAUAUAGGGUGUCUGUUCAAUUUCAGUACACUGAAAUAUCUUUUAAGGAAUUGACGUUACGAAGAAUAUGUUGGUCAGUACGAAGAGAGACGUUAUGCAAUGCAAAUAUCUUUUUUGUAUCUGCUAUAGUCGGGAUGAAUUUCAAAGGCAAUUUAAUUUUUUCUUUAGAUGGAUCUAUGUAUUUUCUUACACACCAUUCGAUACAUUUUUUAAUUCCCAACGAUAAAGAAUUAUGAUAUCUCGGUCGAGAAACGAUUAGUUUCAGAGGUAUUUUAGCUUUAAUCUUGUAAAACUCAUCGUACGAAUGUAAAGGGAAUAUAAACGUCUUUCAAGAGUAAACGUUUUACAAGAGUAAAGAUAAAAUGUCUUUCAAAUUACUAAAUACUUCUCGACCCAAGUACCUUGAUACGUUUUUGCAGAUAGUUACAAAAUGCAUCGAAUGUAUGCAAGAAGAUGUAUAGGUCCGUUCAAAAAAAUUAAAUCGAUUUUGAAAUCUUCCACACUGUACGAAUUACAAAAGAAAUACUUACACCGCAUAACGUCUCCCUCGGUAACAAGCGAUUUUUGAUGAAACACUUUUUUCGUAGUACCAUUACCUUAAAAGAUAUUUCAGCGCAUUCAGAUAAAACAGACACCCGUACGUUUAGAGGCACAUCACUUUUCAUCUAAACGAAAACUGUUUCGAGAACAAAUACUUGUUUUAAUCAUAUCGUGGGUGGAAUAUUUUGAAAUUUGAACCUUCCCAUGAAUAUAAAUGAAUCGAAGGAAAUUAUGCCACGCACCUGUAACUUUCGAAACAUUUGUUACAACUUGAUAUUAGCUACGUUAAUCGUAUGCAAAUAGCCGCAAAAUGAUGCAUUACCGUCUUGUUCUUCUGGAGCAUCAACGAUUUCAUCGAACGAUCUUGCCGAUCGACGUUGCAAAAUUAUUCGAACACAAUUCCUUGUUGUUCGUUUAUUCGGUCGAACAAAUGCACGGAAUAAAAACCGAGAAUUGUAAUUUAGGAACGAUAAAGGAAAACACUUACAAAACGUCGUUUCUUCGUCGAAAGAAGUUAUUGUUGACGUCGAAGUUAACGAGAGCUGCGGUGCACAGAGCGGACGGUCGUAACGAAACUCCGUUGCUCGAUAUCCGAUACGCGAUCGCCAACCAGAAGAAUAUUCCUCGUUAUUCAGGUGCGAAUUUAUACAAAUUCAUAUAUUUGCGAACAUAAUUAAAGAAACGGGACUUUGAUAUAAUAAAUUACUGGAGCAAUGGAAAAUUAAUAUACACUGUCUACUCGUUAUCGUUACCAUGACUAGCCAACUGAUAUAUUUUUGUUCGUAGAUGGGUGAAUAUGCGAGAGGCUGCGGAAGGAA